rnacentral:rRNA from 1 species
GUGCCAGCCGCCGCGGUAAUACGUAGGUGGCAAGCGUUGUCCGGAUCUACUGGGCGUAAAGGAUGUGUAGGCGGAUAUUUAAGUGAGAUGUGAAAUCCCCGGGCUUAACUUGGGGGCUGCAUUUCAAACUGGAUGUCUAGAGUGCAGGAGAGGAAAGCAGAAUUCCUAGUGUAGCGGUGAAAUGCGUAGGGAUUAGGAAAAAUACCAGUGGCGAAGGAGCUUUUCUGGACUGUAACUGACGCUGAGGAAUGA